UGGGGAAUAUUGCACAAUGGGCGCAAGCCUGAUGCAGCCAUGCCGCGUGUGUGAAGAAGGCCUUCGGGUUGUAAAGCACUUUCAGCGAGGAGGAAGGUGGUGAGCUUAAUACGCUCAUCAAUUGACGUUACUCGCAGAAGAAGCACCGGCUAACUCCGUGCCAGCAGCCGCGGUAAUACGGAGGGUGCAAGCGUUAAUCGGAAUUACUGGGCGUAAAGCGCACGCAGGCGGUUUGUUAAGUCAGAUGUGAAAUCCCCGGGCUCAACCUGGGGACUGCAUUUGAAACUGGCAAGCUAGAGUCUCGUAGAGGGGGGUAGAAUUCCAGGUGUAGCGGUGAAAUGCGUAGAGAUCUGGAGGAAUACCGGUGGCGAAGGCGGCCCCCUGGACGAAGACUGACGCUCAGGUGCGAAAGCGUGGGGAGCAAAUAGGAUUAGAUACCCUGGUAGUCCACGCUGUAAAACGAUGUCGAUUUUGGAGGUUGUGCCCCUUGAGGCGUGGCUUCCGGAGCUAACGCGUUAAAUCGACCGCCUGGGGAGUACGGCCGCAAGGUU
rnacentral:rRNA from 1 species